rnacentral:rRNA from 1 species
UACGUAGGGAGCAAGCGUUGUCCGGAAUCAUUGGGCGUAAAGCGCGCGUAGGUGGCCAUUUAAGUCCGCUGUGAAAGUCAAAGGCUCAACCUUUGAAAGCCGGUGGAUACUGGAUGGCUAGAGUACGGAAGAGGCGAGUGGAAUUCCUGGUGUAGCGGUGGAAUGCGCAGAUAUCAGGAAGAACACCCGUGGCGAGGGCGGCUCUCUGGAACGCAACUGACGCUGAGACGCGAAAGCGUGGGGAGCAAACAGG